GGACGAUUAGCUCAGUUGGCUAGAGCGUCACAUUGACAUUGUGAAGGUCACAGGUUCGAGUCCUGUAUCGUCCACCG
rnacentral:tRNA from 3 species